CAUGAAUUUAUUAAAAUCACAGACCUUGGUGUACAUGAAUAAAAACGUAAACAUAACAAAAUAUUUAAACAUAUACUAAAUGCAUUCUUAAUUCUAUAUUUUUACCAGAGCAAACGUAAAAGUAUCACAAACAUUGACACAUAGAAAUCAAAGAGCAUGUUGAUCUACAAAAUUUACCUAGUAAUAUCAUUCUGGCAGAGGAGAAAGAUCAGAGCAAAGGAUGAAAUAUUGAGUAAGCACAUGAUACAAGUUUACAUUGCAUAGGAAAAAAAGUCUACAUUAGUCUAGAUAUAACUUCAGAUAAUCUUCUUUAAAUUUCUUAAAUUCAAUCUACAACUUGAACACUUUCAAAGGGAACUUCAAAGGUAACUUCAAAGGUCACCAACAGGUAACUUCAAAGGUAACUUCAAAGGUAAUCAACAGGUAACUUCAAAAAUAAAUAACAGUUAACUUCAAAGGUAACCAACAGUUAAUCAACAGGUAACUUCAAAGGUAACCAACGGGUAACUUCAAAUGUAACCAAUAGAUAUCUUCAAAGGUAAUCGACAUGUAACUUCAAAGGUAGCCAACAGGUAACUUCAAAGGUCACCAACAGGUAACUUCAAAGGUAAUCGGCAGGUAACUUCAAAGGUAACCAACAGGUAACUUCAAAUGUAACCAACAGGUAACUUCAAAUGUAACCAACAGGUAACUUCAAAGGCAACCAAUAGGUAACUUCAAAGGUAAUUGACAUGUCACUUCAAAGGCAACCAUCAGGUAACUUCAAAGGCAACCGACAGGUAAAGUCUUACACAUUUACAUCCAUAUUACUUCAUAUAUGUUGCAGAUUCUCAUUAGACCUAAAUGCUUUAACAGUGUUUAUAUAUAUGGACAUCUGUAGGUCCAACUUUGAAAUCCAAGGGUUCCAUCCUUGUCCUGUUAGCAACAAUAAAAUAUCUGUCAUGUUAUUAUCUGAUUUCUCCAUCCAACAGUUUUUGCCUCCGUGGACAUAAUUGCACUGAUGAUUUUAAAACUAGAUUAACAUAUUUUUUGUAACAGUAUAUAUAUAUAUAGGUAGGUAAAAGUUCAUUACUUAUAACAAUUUCAUUAUAUAAAACUUAACAAGAGAAAUAUAAAUUUUGUGUAAAAGCAUUUAAAGACAAUUUUAAAUUGGUUAUUUGGGACCUACAUGUAGUAAUGGACAUGUACGAAGAGUCGAGUAUAUAAUAUUAAAGACUGAACAAGAUAAUACAUUGUAAAUGUAAAAUUGGUCUAUUGAUGUUUAUUGACCCCCCCCCCCCC